rnacentral:rRNA from 1 species
UAUUUCUAAGUGUAGCUAGAU